CGGACGGGUGAGUAACGCGUGGGUAACCUGCCUUGUACUGGGGGACAACAGUUAGAAAUGACUGCUAAUACCGCAUAGGCGCACAGUAUCGCAUGAUACAGUGUGAAAAACUCCGGUGGUACAAGAUGGACCCGCGUCUGAUUAGCUAGUUGGUAAGGUAAGGGCUUACCAAGGCGACGAUCAGUAGCCGACCUGAGAGGGUGACCGGCCACAUUGGGACUGAGACACGGCCCAA
rnacentral:rRNA from 1 species